UUUAAACGUCACCCUUGCGUUAGCUGAGUUACCCGUUGUUGUCCGCGGUUAUUUAUUCAUUCCAAUCUCAUGUUAUUAUAUUAGACUUUAGACAGGAUAAUCUUCUCGGUGUAACAGACGAUUUCUACCAUUCCCCAGCAGUCCCCCGUCCGUUACGUUAGGUAACUUUUACUUUAUGCGAUUUUUAUCCGCCUGUAAACUAAACCGGAGU